UGAGGAACAUGACUUUCGGUGGGGGAGUAGCCGGCCCAACGGCCGGGUAAUACCGCGUACGACCUUUCGGGGACAUCCCUGAUUGGUGAAAGCAGCAAUGCGCCGAAAGAGUGCCUCGCGGCCUAUCAGCUAGUUGGUGAGGUAACGGCUCACCAAGGCGACGACGGGUAGCUGGUCUGAGAGGAUGGCCAGCCACAUUGGGACUGAGACACGGCCCAGACCUCCGUACGGGGAGGNACGCG
rnacentral:rRNA from 1 species